GAUGGAGCCCAGCAAAGAG
rnacentral:misc_RNA from 1 species